rnacentral:rRNA from 1 species
UACAGGGGGGGCAAGCGUUGUUCGGAAUUACUGGGCGUAAAGGGCUCGUAGGCGGCCAACUAAGUCACACGUGAAAUCCCCAGGCUUAACCUGGGAACUGCGUGUGAUACUGGAUGGCUUGAAUUCGGGAGAGGGAUGCAGAAUUCCAGGUGUAGAGGUGAAAUUCGUAGAUAUUCGCAAGAACACCAGUGGCGAAGGCGGCUCACUGGCCCGAGACUGACGCUGAGGCACGAAAGCGUGGGGAGCAAACAGG